rnacentral:rRNA from 1 species
GUAGUCAUAUGCUUGUCUCAAAGAUUAAGCCAUGCAUGUCUAAGUAUAAGCAAUUAUACCGUGAAACUGCGAAUGGCUCAUUAAAUCAGUUAUCGUUUAUUUGAUAGUACCUUACUACUUGGAUAACCGUGGUAAUUCUAGAGCUAACACAUGCUAAAAACCCCAACUUCGGGAGGGGUGUAUUUAUUAGAUAAAAAACCAAUGCCCUUCGGGGCUCUUUGGUGAUUCAUGAUAACUUAACGGAUCGCAUGGCCUUGCGCCGGCGACGGUUCAUUCAAAUUUCUGCCCUAUCAACUUUCGAUGGUAAGGUAUUGGCUUACCAUGGUUUCAACGGGUAACGGGGAAUA